UAGGGAAUCUUCGGCAAUGGGGGGAACCCUGACCGAGCAACGCCGCGUGAGUGAAGAAGGUUUUCGGAUCGUAAAGCUCUGUUGUUAAGGAAGAACGAGUGUGAGAAUGGAAAGUUCAUGCUGUGACGGUACUUAACCAGAAAGGGACGGCUAACUACGUGCCAGCAGCCGCGGUAAUACGUAGGUCCCGAGCGUUGUCCGGAUUUAUUGGGCGUAAAGCGAGCGCAGGCGGUUAGAAAAGUCUGAAGUGAAAGGCAGUGGCUCAACCAUUGUAGGCUUUGGAAACUGGUUAACUUGAGUGCAGAAGGGGAGAGUGGAAUUCCAUGUGUAGCGGUGAAAUGCGUAGAUAUAUGGAGGAACACCGGUGGCGAAAGCGGCUCUCUGGUCUGUAACUGACGCUGAGGCUCGAAAGCGUGGGGAGCGAACAGG
rnacentral:rRNA from 2 species